CUUAUCAAGAGUGGCGGAGGAAACAGGUCCUUUGAAGCCCGGCAACCUAAUUUGUUUAUUAAGGUGCUAAAUCCUGCGGUAAUAAAUCCGAAAGAUGAGG
rnacentral:ncRNA from 1 species